CGGCUCAUUUACAGCCCUAACAGGAGGGAUAGCCUGGUGCUUCUGCUUCACCAGAGGCCUUCUUACUUCCCCAUCCUUCCUUUCCGACUUCCCCGAUCCGCCCACAUUCUCCGUCAUCCCUCGCCACCCAUUCAGCGAUGCCCUCCCCAGGCGCUGACACCGUUCUUCCUUCCGGCUUCCCACAUUUUUUAAAAGUCUAGGAGAGUUAUCGAUUUUGGGAUCGAGGAGGUAGAACGUUAUAUGUAUAUGUGUAUAUAUACUUUUCGAGAUCUCGUUUCUAUGUUGAAUUAAGUAGCAUAUGUGGUUAGACGUUUGAUGAUUUCAUCGAUUUGGAGGCAGUGUUCCGUCUUACAAGCAUAACAUAAUUCCACUCUUUAAUGCUAAGAAAACACUGGAGUUCACAUUUCUUGUUGGUCUCUUUACCUUUCAAGCGUCUCAGAACGUAAUUUCUGGAACAGAAUUAGCUGGAGUUCAGACGAAUGAUUUAGGAGAUCCGGGUGAUAUCAAUACAAGAUUUGCAUCAGUACGACAUAUUCGUUUGUUCUUUUAAUAUCAAAUAUCAAUUUCUUGGGCUUGAGGUAAUUCCAGUACCACUUCUCAGUCAAUCCAAAACAUUUGGUUGAAUCAACCUUAAAGUAAUGCUUUUACCCACUAUCCCGAAGGACCUAUCUAGAUUCUAGUUUGACACCAGCUUCUUCUGCUAUAGUGUCACUUGUUUCUCCAGUUCUUAAGAUCAAUCUAUGGGUGUUAACUCAUGAAAUGUAUAAUCAAGUUCCCCAUGAUACAAUGCUGAUUGUUAUAGACUUCUUUAUUCAACGAGGUUCUCUUUCUUCUGUUAUUUCAAUCUAUGCUCUUCUCUUUUGGUGGUCUUGUGGCAUCAUUUGAUUUCAUUUACCGUAUCAAUUAGCAACCUCAUCUGUGUUAGGAUACUGGCGGCUUCCUACAAAUACCCAAACAUCUGGUACUCUUUUUUUUCAUAAUCAAUAUCUAACGUAGUGUCUUUUUCUCUUGUUUUGCUCAUAUUCCUUAUUUUGUUCUUUACUUUUCAGAUCUAGUUGUUUCAUAGUUAACCCAUUUAGUAAAUCUCUGAUUCCUCGAAUAUCCUUGCAUUUCUAUCUUGCUCAAUCCACAUAAUAUUUUAGUAUCAUUAUAAUUUUGCUCGGUGACUAAACUGUCAUUAUACAGUUUAAUGCCUGAUCAUCUGCUACUGAAAACUUCAAUAUGCACAGCCAAUCUUCUCUUAGGCAUUACUAUCAGGAAGAAUUUAUUUGACUUUAAGAAAUGAUCCUUCAUGUGCAUUUUGAGGUACUAUGUUUAUACACCCUGAUGCUUUUUAUUAUUCUUAUGGUGUUGUUAUAUAGUCGACUAUUCUUAAACCAUUGUCCAAUGUGGUCAAUUGAUCUGCCUUUCAAAUUUCAAAUCAGGCAGAAUUAGCAAUUUCAUAAUUUUCAGGAGAUAGUGCAGGAAAUAUAGCCGCAGCCAGUACUGUUCUCAGCACAUUCAUCUUAGUUUUUGUUGCUGAAUGGGGUGAUGUGUCAUUUUUCUCCACAAUAGCACUUGCUACAGCUUCUUCGCCUUUGGGCGUCAUAGGAGGUGCACUUGCUGGCCAUGCUUUUGCAACUUUGGAUUGAAGCAGAGUUAUUGUUGAUUAUUUCAACCUACAGUGCACCUCAUCAUUUUUGCGAUUUCUAAAAUUCUACAUAGCCAGAGGUUUCUGGCCAUUUUUAUUUGAUACACCAUAUUUGUUGAUUCUACUUUGUGCUAUAACUCAUGAAACUUGCCUUUUAGUACUCGAUGUGAUUUGGAAACUCCUGCACUUUUAUUAUUUUUGCAUGGCUAUGGUACCUGAUGCAGCGAUUGAGCUGGGCUUCAGAGUUGGAUUAAACUCAAGAAGAUUGGAUGAUAACGCCGUCAAAGUUAAAGAAGUGUCAACCUUUGAAGCUAGCAUAGAUGAUGACUUCCAUCAAGAGAUAGCCGAUCGGGCUAUCAAGCCAAUCAGACUGAAGGUCCGAUUAGAUGCCCAUUCACAUGAUGUUCAUGGAGCUUUGAGCUAACUCAGUAUUCCGCUGAGUCAGCUGUAUCCCUGAUUCAUAAAUAGCACAGUGAAUCAGCGCGAUUGAGUAGUCUAGCCGAUCUGGCCAUAUAAUCGCACUCAGUCUGUUUACGUCCGAUCAGACCAGCUAGGCACUCAGUCUAUUUAAGUUUUCCAACUCAACUGAAGAAGUCGAGUGAAGGCUAAGUCGUCGGCCGCAUUCAUAAAAGCUGACCGGGUACCCCUCGAGAGGAAUGGUCGGUCGAAGUAUUCUAGUGAUUCGGUUGGUUGGCUAAAGUAGACUAUUAUAGGCCUAUAGCCCAUCAGCCUCGUAUUCCUUUUUGACAUUUUAUAUCACAGAGAACAGAGAAUAUUCUAUAUAUAAUCUGCAUAUUUGAAGCUUCUACCCUAUUAAUUGUAGAGAUUUUGGAAAAGGUGUUAGAGCCUCUUUAUGAUCUAACUUUUUUGGAAAAUGCUUUGAGAUUCAUGCAAAGGCACCACGAGGUAUUAUAAAAAGGGGUCUCUGUUGGAACCCCAAGG